rnacentral:rRNA from 1 species
UACGGAGGAUGCAAGCGUUAUCCGGAUUCAUUGGGUUUAAAGGGUGCGUAGGCGGACUAUUAAGUCAGUGGUGAAAGCCUGCAGCUUAACUGCAGAACUGCCAUUGAUACUGAUAGUCUUGAGUUUGGUUAAGGUAGGCGGAAUGUGUAAUGUAGCGGUGAAAUGCUUAGAUAUUACACAGAACACCAAUUGCGUAGGCAGCUUACUGAGCCGACACUGACACUGAGGCACGAAAGCGUGGGGAUCGAACAGGA